rnacentral:rRNA from 1 species
GACGAACGCUGGCGGCGUGCUUAACACAUGCAAGUCGAACGGAAAGGCCUGCUUUCCCUUGUGGAUUGCGGGUACUCGGGUGGCGAACGGGUGAGUAACACGUGAGUGAUCUGCCCCCAACUUGGGUAUAAGCCUGGGAAACUGGGUCUAAUUCCCGAUAGGACUGCAGGGUGGUGCCUGUGGUGGAAAACGAUUUUCUAGUGGUUGGGGAUGAGCUCGCGGCCUAUCAGCUUGUUGGUGGGGUAAUGGCCUACCAAGGCGGCGACGGGUAGCCGGCCUGAGAGGGUGGACGGCCACAUUGGGACUGAGAUACGGCCCAGACUCCUACGGGAGGCAGCAGUGGGGAAUAUUGCACAAUGGGCGGAAGCCUGAUGCAGCGACGCCGCGUGGGGGAUGACGGCCCUCGGGUUGUAAACUCCUUUCGACCGCGAGGAAGCCACCUGGUUGGAAGGGUGGUGACGGUAGUGGUAGAAGAAGCACCGGCUAACUACGUG